CCUGUGCCAUAGUAGCAACUAGAGCCACAGCAAUGACAAUGUCAGAUCCUUAACCGGCUGAACCACCAGGGAACUCCUGACAUUUAUUUAUUUAUUUAUUUAUUAUCGCUGCACCCACAGCAUAUGGAAGUUCCCAGCAGGCUAGGUGUUGACUCGGAGCUGCAGCUGCAGGCCUACACCACAGCCACAGCAACACCAAUCCUGCUGCUUGCAGUAGCAUGGAACCCUUAACCCAGAAAUAAGUUUUGUUUUCAAGUUCCAGUCACAGCAGGCUCCCGCCUCUCAGGGUCUCUGUGAUUCUCUAAACUGCCAACUUCUUACAAUAUUAUUUCUAAUUUGGAGUUCCCUUCAUGGCUCAAAGGGAGCGAAUCUGACCAGUAACCCUGAGGAUACAGGUUCGAUACCUGGCCUCACUCAGUGGAUUAAGGAUCUGGCAUUGCCAAGUGAACUGUGGUGUAGGUUGCAGAUGAAGCUCAGAACCCGCAUUGCUGUGGCUGUGGUGUAGGCUGGCAGCUGUGGCUCUGAUUUGACCCCUAGCCUGGGAACCUCCAUAUGCUGCAAGUGCAGCCCUAAAAAGACAAAAAAAAAAAAAAAGAAGAAGACUCAAACAAUUUUGCAGGCGACCCUUAAGUUAUUCUUUGGUGUUCUGUUUUUUAGGUAAAGUUGUCUCAGUUCAUCUUUCCUCCUAAUACGUGAUCUAUUGACUCUCCAAUUGUUUCUGCUCAAAGCAAGAUCUCAUUGGUUGUUUUUGUGCAAAGUUGAUGCAGUAGAUAGAGCCCUCGAGGCAGACUAUGCCCGCAGCCUUCUGGACAACCUUGAACAGGACUCUUUUCUUCUCUGGGCUUUGGUGUCCUCAUCUGUUAAAUGAAAGAGUUAUGCUAGGUGAUCUCCAGAGUCUCUGAAAGCACAAACUUUUUUUUUUAAGUGCUGCACCCACGGCAUAUGGAUUCCUAGGCUAGGGGUCUAAUCACAGCAAUGCCAGAUCCGAGCCACAUUUACCACGUACACACCACAGCUCACGGCAACGCCGGAUCCUCAACCCACUGAGCAAGGCCGGGGAUAGAACCCACAACCUCAUGGUUCCUAGUCGGAUUCGUUAACCACUGCGCCACAAUGGGAACUCCCAACUUUAAUUUUUUAAAUUAAAAUAGAGUUGAUUUACGCCAUGUUUCGUAAACUUCAGCCAACUUUAAUUGUUUAAAUUAAAAUAUAAUUGAUUUACAAUGCUGUGUUUCAAGUGUACAACAAAGUAUAUUCUUUUCCAGAUUCUUUUCCAUUAUAGAUUAUUAUAAGAUAUUGAAUACAAUUCCCUGUGCUAUGCAGUAAGUAAACCUUGGGUGUUUAUCUAUCUGAUAUACAGUGGUGUGUAUAUGCUAAUCUCAUACUCUCACUAUAUAUAUACAUGUAAUACCUGGUAGCACAGCCAGGGGUUGGAAAAAAAACCUGACCGACGACCACUAGCCCACAUCUGUGGUUCACCUUUCCCCGUCUCCAUUUCCCAUGGG
rnacentral:lncRNA from 1 species